CCUACGGGAGGCAGCAGUAAGGAAUAUUGGUCAAUGGAGGCAACUCUGAACCAGCCAUGCCGCGUGCAGGAAGAAGGCCCUAUGGGUCGUAAACUGCUUUUGUACCAGAGAAAACCCGAGUACGUGUACUCGGUUGAUAGUAUGGUAAGAAUAAGCAUCGGCUAACUUCGUGUCCAGCAGCCGCGGUAAGACGAAGGAUGCAAGCGUUAUCCGGAUUCAUUGGGUUUAAAGGGUGCGUAGGCGGACUGAUAAGUCAGUGGUGAAAUCUCUCAGCUUAACUGAGAAACUGCCAUUGAUACUGUUAGUCUAGAGUAUAGAUGACGUUGGCGGAAUAUGACAUGUAGUGGUGAAAUACUUAGAUAUGUCAUAGAACACCGAUUGCGAAGGCAGCUAACGAAACUAUAACUGACGCUGAGGCACGAAAGUGCGGGGAUCAAACAGGAUUAGAUACCCUGGUAGUCCGCACCGUAACGAUGAUUACUCGUUGUUGGCAAUAUGACCGUCAGCGACCAAGCGAAGCGAUAGUAAUCCACCUGGGGAGUACGCCGGCACGGUUGAAACUCGAAANAGAGUAGAGNGNGAGAGNGCGAGGACGACACGAGGGAGAGG
rnacentral:rRNA from 1 species